CAGCAGCCGCGGUAAUACGUAGGGUGCGAGCGAUGCCCGGAUUUAUUGGGCGUAAAGGGCGCGUAGGCGGUCACGCACGUCCGUUGUGAAAUCGCUCGGCUCAACUGGGCGGGGUCAGCGGAUACGGCGUGGCUGGAGCAAGCUAGGGGGCAAUGGAAUUCCCGGUGUAGUGGUGGAAUGCGUAGAUAUCGGGAGGAACACCAGUGGCGAAGGCGGUUGCCUGGAGCUUUGCUGACGCUGAUGCGCGAAAGCGUGGGGAGCGAUCCGGAUUAGAUACCCGGGUAGUCCACGCCGUAAACGAUGCGGACUAGGUGUCGGGGGUAUCGACCCCCUCGGCGCCGCAGCUAACGCAUUAAGUCCGCCGCCUGGGGACUACGGCCGCAAGGCUAAAACUCAAAGGAAUUGACGG
rnacentral:rRNA from 1 species